GGGGGUGACCGGUUUUGACAGCAUGUAGAGUUUGAUUGUAAGCACGUCGAGUCUUGUACGGGGCCUCGUAAAAGUGAACGUACAACUUAUAAAUGGCAAUCAAAGCUAUCAGCUCGCUGCCUAGUCUUUUAGAAAGAAGGGCUUAAUCGCUGAACCCAAGGCUGGUUCGGUGACGAGUAUCCCGGAGAUGGUUUUCUUCUCUUUAGCCGUUUUCCAUAUGGGGUAUCAUCAUUAAAGGGAUAGCAUUCAAAGAUGCUUCUGAGUGAGUGCGAAAUUUUAGAAGCUGGGAUUCGGAAUCGGUUGUCGUCUACCUGUUUCGGAUAGAAGGAUGAAAGAUGACUAAGCGUGUAGAAAGCCUUCGGGUUCCUUGUUUGGACGCGGGUUCGACCCCCGCCACCUCCACUU
rnacentral:tmRNA from 1 species